rnacentral:lncRNA from 1 species
UCGGCCUCCCAAAGUGCUGGGAUUACAGGCGUGAGCGACCGCGCCCAGCCGAACUUCUGCCUCUUAAAUCCAGGGUUCUCCCUGUCAGUACAGUGAGGUGGUAACUAGCAAAAGCUAUGAGAUAUGACUGCCUGGGUACAUAUCCCAGCUCUUUCACUUAUCUUUGUGGCUUUACGCAAAUUACUUAACCUCUUUAUGAUUGUUUCUUCAUUUGUAAAAGGAAGAUAAUAACAGUGCCUAUAUAUAGGGUUUUUAUGAAGAAUAAAUGAGAUAGUAUAUAUAAAGCACUUAGAACAGUAUCUGGCACAUACUAGGUGCUCAAUAAAUGUUAGCGAUGACAUUUAUUACUGUCCCACAUUGAGCUGGUGUUUGUUAAACACUGGAUGACUGGAUAAAAUGUACAUCUUUCAUGCAGAGAUUGCUCGAUUAUCCAUUUCACUGAUUCAGGAUCAGAGUCUCUUAAGAAUCCAGAGAGGGGAUGUUGAAGCCCUAAGAAGUAAAAACACUAAAAUGAUAACAUUUUGACCUUUUGAAAACUCUUUGAAGUGGCAAUGGCCACAAAAUUGAGCGGAAACCAAACAUAUUCAGCCCCAUUUCCAGAUAAAUUGGAUUUGCUAAACCACUCAGAAUAACAAGAGCAAGAAUUAGAUGUUCAGCUAAGCUCUAGCUUCUGAUCCUAGAUGGUGGCAAUAACAACGAUAGUAUUAAUGAUAAUAGCAGAAACUCUUAAUAUGUGUGAGGCAUUCUUCUAAAUGCUUUACAUAUAUUAAUUUAAUGUUCAUCGGAGCAGAUUCUCCUACUGUAUCCAAGAGAUCAGAAAUUCAGAGCAAAAAGCAGAUUGCUGCCUGAUAGCAGAUCCACUCUAGGAAUGGGGAGAUUUUCUCAUAAAUCUAAUGACUGGUGAAAGUGACAAGAGGUUAGUCCACUCAGUGUUGGAAAGGACAAGAUCCUAGAAAGUGGAAAUGCUCCACUAUUGCUUUAGGGGGAACAGCCUGGCUACAACUGGGCAGACUUUCUAUUACUAACAUCAGGAUAAUAGGGAAGCUCCUGCCAAUGCUGCAUAGAACUAAGAACACUUAGCAGUGAUGGCUGACUUCCAACUGAGCCAUUAAGGUAAGUGUAGAAGAAAGCUCCAGGUAGAAAUAUCUUUGGGAACUCAGAGAACACACUGAGUGUUUGAAGCUGGUACUUAAUCUAUUAUUGAACUCAGAGUUUGCCAUUCUGGGGCCAAUUUGAGUCCACUUAUGACACCUCCCACAGCACUGCUCAUUUCUGUUAACUGGGCUUCACAGAGGGUGAGAAGGGCAGCAAUCAGAUCAUAUAAUUGGGCCUCAUUGUAAUAAAAUGUUGAUUUCUGUUGUCCUUGGACUUCCUUCCAGCCACAAUCACUCUAUGAUCUUGUCUGAGAUUCUUUUUCCUUUCUCUCUCCAUUUUGCUGACUGUAAUGGAAUAAUAGCAGAAGCUCUCAAUCUGUAUGAGGAAUAUAUAUGAAGAAUGUGUAACAUUCACUGUGUUUCCUAAUAGAUGAAUUAUCUAAAGGACACCUCUUAAGAAGAGAUGAGAUGGAGCCAACUGUCAGAAAAAAAAAUGGGUGAAGAAAGUUUCAAGGAGAAGACUCCACAGAGCAGAAUGGGAAAGAUGGCCAGGAGAAAAGUGAGAUAAUAAAAGGAAAAGCAGUCCCUGACACAGAAGGCAGUGCUGUUCCUGAUAAGACACAUGACACAAAAUAUGGUUUUGCUGAGUAUCAAGUUUACUGAGGCUGCCUGGGAACUUGAGCUGUCAGCCAAACAGGAAGAAGGGCCCUUCUGCCUACUCCAAAAGGCCUCAGUCAA